ensembl:lncRNA
GGGCGCCUAAGAGGCGGAGCCCGCCCCUCACAGCAGCCGCCGGCGCCAAUGUUCUUACCUGCACCCCUCCGGCGCCUGGGGCUUCGUCGGGCCCAAAGUCUGAGACAGAUUAGAGGCGAUGGCCAUAACCCAGAAGUCGUUUACAUCGAGCUGUGGAUGUUACCCGCGUUGUUUGGCGGGGAAGGCGAACUGCUGGCGGCCUUCCACGAGUGGUUCGGGGUAUUACUCGUGAUCAGUGCAGUUCCAGGAUGCGGAGUCUUGAUCUUCAUCAUUGGACGGCCCUUUUACCAGUAUCUUACGAUGCUCCUCAUUGUGGCCAUGUCUUUCCAGCUUCUGAUCCGCCGAAAUCGAGGUGAGGGGUCUCGGGGGCCCAGGCAGGGAACGCUUCCUUCGCCCAGGGGUCGGGGAAAGUAGGUUUCCGCUCUCUGCAUCUUUUUGGCUCACGGCAGUUCCUCAGCCUAGGACCAGGCUCAAUUUUGAAAACAAUCACUCCGUCUAAAAUCCCCUGGUGUGGGUCCUGGCUUCUGAGUAGGAAGAGCGGGGUGCGUUUGGGAGUCUGUGGUAGACCCAAGGGUGAAAAUCUGUCUUAUCGUACCCUCCUGCUGAGGGUCCUCGGGAAGUCCUCAGUAGCAUUUUGAGGGGACGUCUUCCGCCGAAUCUCUUGUGGGGCUGCCCUAUCGCGCUCACAUUUCCUCGGACGGCGGAUUCAAAGAGUAGUCCCUGAACCAAUCAGAAUCAACAUCACCUGGGUAUUUGUGAAAAAUGCAAACGCUGGCGCCCACUCAGACGCCCAGGAUCGGAAACUCUGGGGGCGGGACGCAGUAACGUUUGUUUUAAUAAGCCCUUCAGGUGAUUCUGAUGCAAGCCAAAGUUUGAAAAGACCAUCGCUGUAGGGUCAUUUCCACAAAGCCUGCAGCCGACCAGCUGCUUUCUCUUUAGCCAGAGCUCGGACCAGAAGGCUGCUAAAUCCUGCGCUGGCUGGGGGACGCUCUGUUUAAGGUUGGAGCCGGUCCGGAAUCCCUUAUCCAGAUGACUGACUGCGGGCCGGGGAUGACACUGUUUGCUGGAGUGCUGACCUGGGGGGUCAGGAGGCUAAGGCCCCAUCCACUGUGGUUUGUGCCGUGAAAGAUGUGGAGGAGAACGGGUGUGGGGGCAGCUGUUCUUAAUUUUGUCACGUUCAAGUGAUUGCAAGCUCGACCUUUUAAGGAAAGUUUCACUGGUUUUAUAAUAAAUGAUCUUCAUUGGUUUUGUCUGGGUCAGUGUUCUUUUCAGGUUGUGAUGGAGAAAAGAAAAA